rnacentral:rRNA from 1 species
ACGUAGGUGGCAAGCGUUGUCCGGAAUUACUGGGUGUAAAGGGAGCGCAGGCGGGUGAUCAAGUCAGCUGUGAAAACUACGGGCUUAACCCGUAGACUGCAGUUGAAACUGUUCAUCUUGAGUGAAGUAGAGGUUGGCGGAAUUCCGAGUGUAGCGGUGAAAUGCGUAGAUAUUCGGAGGAACACCGGUGGCGAAGGCGGCCAACUGGGCUUUAACUGACGCUGAGGCUCGAAAGUGUGGGGAGCAAACAG